rnacentral:lncRNA from 1 species
AACACUGUAAAAAUCCCUAUCUGCACCAGAGUGGCGUGUUAAGAAGGAGUCCAGUGGAAAAAUGGUGUCCGGGACUGCAUUCUCCAUAAGUCAGGUUGUUGCAUUUUGUUAUGGCUGUCACCAUAAUUGGAAGAACAGUGAAAAGCCCCUAUUUUCAGGCCUUGCAUUUACACAUUCCUGGACAAAGAACCGAUCAGAUGUUGGAAACAAUCCCAGAUUUGGCAGAAAAUGGUACACUGCAAAAUUUCUGGACAACUCAAUUUUGGCUGAUGGCUUUAAUGCGCAUGAGUGCAUUGACAUGUGAGCAUUUGCACUUAUUCUAUGAGCAGUAAAAAGAACUUAGUAAUGGUGAGUCAAAAAGAAAAAGGAAAAUUAGCAUUUUUCUAAAUCUGUAAGUAGAACUAGGGAUGCCUUGCCAAUGAGUCAGUGCUCUAGUGACUAACUAGCAGUACUAGAAUUGCACUAAUAAUACAAAAAUCGUUGUGUCACAAAAAUAAGCAGGAUAAAAAUAACAAACAUUAACUUCACCAGCCAGAAAACCCAUGUGCUUGAGUCCUCUGUUCCUUUUCCUGCACUGCACCUGGAAGCAUGCCCUUGGUGUCUUCUGGAAAGAAUGACUUGGCUUAGUUUGCUGCUUCUGCAUCUUUUUAGGACCAGGAUGGAGUCUUUAGGCCUUUGGUAGAAACAGCACCUUCAGAGUCCCACACUGCUCUUUAACACACCGUGUUCUGCUCAUAGGGAAGAUGUUCAGAAGCUGCACAUGCUUCACAGGAAUACAUGACUGAUAAUAUGCUCCUUAGAGAAAAAUUCAGGGAAUGCAAGAGGA